GGUAUGAAAGCAUGACACCAAAAACUCUCUUCGGCAUUUCAUCAAACGCCUUCACAAUGACCCAAAAAAGUUCGGUUGAGUAAAACUCAUUUUGGGUCUGAGAAGAUUUAAUUGAACUUAUAUUCUCAGACCCAAAUAAGGGUUUGAGAUUCUCUCAAUUGGCAAGUUCUUGGGUUUUGCUCCGAGCUGCAGUCAAAAUCAAAGUGUAUUGGUACACAGCGGCAGGGUGCAUGGUGGACAUUACUAGGCCUUUAUCAGGCCGAUGCUUUCCGAUCAUUGUAUGGAAAUGUUGUGCAAGCUCUAAGAAGAGGCGACCUCCGACUUCUUCGGCAUGCUUUUCAAGAGCAUGAAGACAGGUUCUUUAGGUUUGCUGUAUAUCUUGUCCUAGAGAAGCUAGAACUUCAGGUCUAUCAGAGAUUGUU